UACGUAGGGGGCAAGCGUUGUCCGGAAUCAUUGGGCGUAAAGAGCGCGUAGGCGGCCCUGUAAGUCCGCUGUGAAAGUCAGAGGCUCAACCUCUGAAUGCCGGUGGAUACUGCAGGGCUAGAGUCCGGAAGAGGCGAGUGGAAUUCCCGUGGUGUAGCGGUGAAAUGCGCAGAUAUCAGGAGGAACACCGAUGGCGAAGGCAGCUCGCUGGGACGGUACUGACGCUGAGGCGCGAAAGCGUGGGGGAGCAAACAGG
rnacentral:rRNA from 1 species